rnacentral:sRNA from 1 species
AUAUCUUUCUGUACGGGAAGGAUGAGAAGCUUCGACUAAGGUUCGAUUCGAGCGCAGCGAGAAAGCGUUGCCGUAGGCAACGACCCGAAGGGCGAAGCGCGCAGCGCUGAGUCA